rnacentral:lncRNA from 1 species
AUACCUCUGACUUGAUCAACACAACUUAUGAUUCUUCUACCAACUUUAACACUCUUGAUUCACCCUUAAACCCCACCAUUCUGAUGACAUCACGUUGCUUCACUGAUCUUCACUCUUGAGUAGCAUAGUUUCCAACUAUGCUAUCCCAUUACUAAACCAAAACUUCUUAUUCAUUGUCUUGACAGAACCGACAUAAGCACUCAAUCUUAUUUCUUUAACUUGCUAACCCGACCCAUACUUGGAUUUAUAUCUUUCUCGACUUGAAAUCACUAGCUUGAUCAGUACUAGUCCACCUUAAGAUACCUCUCAAACUAGGAUUUAUCCAACUUUCGUAGGUAAAUCCUCUCUAGAAACUCACCGGUUAUAGUACUUCAACUAUAAUAAUGAGUUCUCUUCACCACAUUCCCAUUAGACAACUAGCCUUCACACUUAUGAUUUCUCUGCCCU